UCGGGACUUCACAGAGCCCAUGGUGGCCCCUGGCAGAUCCUGGGGAGAAAGGCCAGGUGCACACAUCAGCCAUUCUUUUCUGAAGGAACACACAGAUCCAUGCAGGCACAUGGAAGAGGAGGUUCUAUUUCAAAAAUAGGAAGUGUCUUGACAGUUUCAAACACAGGCCUGGGCUCUGACGGCCAGGAAGUGAGGGUGUGAGUCACCCUCAGCUGGCCCCUAGCUGGGCAGCCUCCUUCAGAGAAGAGCUCAGGACUCUGGGAGACAAGGAAUGUGGGCUCACAUUCCCUGGGAGGCAAAACAAAGUCCCAGUUAGGCAAACCCAGUUCAAUAGAAACGACUGGAAGGUGUCUGCAAGUCUUGGUAGUCUGUGCGGCUAGCCUCUGUUUUCCUCCUGGGAGAAGAAUGAAAAUUGCGGUUACCUCGGUGCCGUGAGCCGGAGGCCGCAGCUCCUCCGGCAGCGUCUUCUCCCCCGCAGCUGCUCGUCGGUAAUGUCCCAAGAUCGAGCUGUGAGCUCAACAAGAAGAGAAGUUUUUCCUUGGACACCCUUGUGUGCGGGGCUUUAGAAGGGCUGCUGUCCGCAGAGGCAACGAGGAGCAGAGGGGUGUCUGAAAUUAAAAAACCAGGCAGAUCCAUCUACUCAGACCCUAACCAUGGCCCUAAAGUAAAUUGCUUGAAGAAAUUAGUUCCCAACGAUUAUAGAUGCAGAGUUUUUGAAGUAUGUCCAUAUUCAAGUGUAGAUCAAAGAAGCUCAACUAAAAGGAUUGUGGACUGACUGAAAUGACAUCAAGAUUGAGAAAAAAAGGGAAUAAGAUGAUUAAGACUCAAACUCGGGAGGCACUAAGGCAGUGGAAGAACUCAGAACAUGUGAAAUUCCUUAAAUAAAAGUUUAUUAACUUUAAAAACAACAACAACAACAAAUACUUAGCCCAAAUCCAGGCCCCUGGUCUCAGGUUACUAGUAUGAAAUGAGGAAAGAGGUAUGGCCCCGGCUGGGUGGCUCAGUUGGUUGGAAUAUCAUCUCACACACCAAAAAGACUAUGGGCUUGAUGCCCUGUCAGGGCACAUACCUGGGUUGCGGGUUCGAUCUCUGGUUGGGGUGCGUCUGGGAGACAACCGAUCAAUGUUUCUCUCUUUCUCUCUCUCUCUCUUUGUCCCUCCCUCUCUCUAAAAUCAAUGAACAUAUCCUCAGAUGAGGAUUAAAAAGAAAAAAAGGAGGGGUGUGUUUGGUAAGGGACACAACCUUUGUAAACCUGUGGCUGCAGCUACUGGAAGAGGAGCUCUGCUACACUCACUGGCACCAGGAGAGACCAGGGUCUUGGAUCCCAUCUGUACCAUCCCCAGGAAAUUAGGCUUCCCAAGAGGGCCCCUGAGCAGAGAGCCCCGUAAUUCAGACUGUGAGUUCACAAAUAAACUUUUGCCAAUUCUCAUACAGGUAGUCAGGUCUGGAGGAUCAAGGCAUACUCAUUUCACUCACAAAAAAACCCCAACCAAUUUAUUAGCCAGAAUACAACUUUUCACAUUUCCAAGGAGAUCCAUUUAGGCCCUGAAGUAUGGUACCUAUUUGCUUUGUUUAACAAUGGACAGGUUACUUUGAUUUUCUAAAUUGUAUAAGUCAUCCCAUUCGAUUGAAUGCCGUAUCGAUUGAAUGACUAUUCCACCGAUUGUUA